UUCCACAAGUUUUUAAGGCUCUUAACCCACACUUUCACUCCUCUGCUACCAGUCUUCAGUGUUGUUAACAGCAAGAGAAAAUUGGAUUUGUUUAAAAAUCUACUUCUCUGAGGUGGCACAGUUGCGUAGCUGCAGUCCCAGCUACUCAGGAGGCUGAGGUAGGAGGAUUGCUUGAGCCCGGGAGUGUAGUGGCACAAUCGGCUCACUGCAACCUCUGCCUCCCAGGUUCAUGCCAUUCUCCUGCCUCAGCCUCCCGAGUAGCUGGGACUACAGGUGUCUGCCGCCACGCCUGGCUAAUUUUUUUGUAUUUUUAGUAGAGACGGGAUUUCACCAUGUUGUCCAGGAUGGUCUCGAUUUCCUGACCUCGUGAUCCGCCCGUCUCAGCCUCCCAAAGUGCUGGGAUUUCAGGCGUGAGCCACUGCGCCUGGCCUAUAAGAUACAG
rnacentral:sRNA from 1 species